rnacentral:sRNA from 1 species
UAAUAGCAGUUGAUGUAAGGGAGAUAUUC